CAGCUGUGGGGCCGCAGGAGCAGGACUCAGGGAUGACCUCCACCAUGGCCUGGGCCCCUCUCCUCCUCACCCUCCUGGCUCACUGCACAGGUGA
rnacentral:pre_miRNA from 1 species